UACGGGGGGAGCAAGCGUUGUCCGGAUUUACUGGGCGUAAAGAGCGUGUAGGCGGCCAAGCAGGUCCGUUGUGAAAACUGGAGGCUUAACCUCCAGACGUCGACGGAAACCGCGUGGCUAGAGUCCGGAAGAGGAGAGUGGAAUUCCUGGUGUAGCGGUGAAAUGCGCAGAUAUCAGGAAGAACACCAAUGGCGAAGGCAGCUCUCUGGGACGGUACUGACGCUGAGACGCGAAAGCGUGGGGAGCGAACAGG
rnacentral:rRNA from 1 species